rnacentral:rRNA from 1 species
GAAGGGAAGCUUUGCUCCCGGAUGUUAGCGGCGGACGGGUGAAGUUAACACGUGGGUAACCCUGCCUGUAAGACUGGGAUAACUCCGGGAAACCGGGAAGCUAAUACCGGAUAGUUCCUUGAACCGCAUGGUUCAAGGAUGAAAGACGGUUUCGGCUGUCACUUACAGAUGGACCCGCGGCGCAUUAGCUAGUUGGUGAGGUAACGGCUCACCAAGGCGACGAUGCGUAGCCGACCUGAGAGGGUGAUCGGCCACACUGGGACUGAGACACGGCCCAGACUCCUACGGGAGGCAGCAGUGGUCU